AAGCCGAUGAGGAUUUGUUUUUAUAGUUGGAAUUACCGACUGAAUUCUCAUUUAUUUUGAUGUCAAUUUUACUGGCUGUCUGAGGCUUCAC